UACGUAGGUGACCAGCGUUGUCCGGAUUUACUGGGCGUAAAGAGCGCGCAGGCGGUCGUUCAAGUCGAGUGUGAAAGCCCCCGGCUCAACUGGGGAGGGUCAUUCGAUACUGAUCGACUUGAAGGCAGGAGAGGGAAGCGGAAUUCCCGGUGUAGUGGUGAAAUGCGUAGAUAUCGGGAGGAACACCAGUGGCGAAGGCGGCUUCCUGGCCUGUUCUUGACGCUGAGGCGCGAAAGCCAGGGGAGCAAACGGG
rnacentral:rRNA from 1 species